rnacentral:misc_RNA from 1 species
CUGAAAUAUUCACCGGCAAAGCCACUCCUUCCAAGCUCCUAUGGCCCCUGGCAGUGGCAAUUUCCAUAUUAUCCUCCAAAAACUGCUCAAUCUCUCUCCUCCAUGCAACUGCCAAGCAAACCAACAAAGCCUCUAAACUGACCAAAACCACCGUCUUCUCCUUUGCAAUCUCUAACUUUCUUCUUGAAAACAUCACCUGCAAUGGCUUCCCUCUCAAUUGGAUUACACCAUCUCAAUCCAUUCAAUCAAUUCGAGAAACACUCUGUCCGAUUUCCAUCUCCCGUUCAUCUAUCUUCACUUUCUUCUCGGUCCUGUUUCGCUUUGUCUCCGCUUAGAUUAGGUUCAAGAUUGCUUGGCAGUGGUCUCCUUGCUAGAGCUGAAGAUAAGGCUAGAGGGUCUUCUUCUUCUUCUUCUUCAAUACAGGGACAUGCUCAACAGCC